rnacentral:rRNA from 1 species
GACGAACGCUGGCGGCGUGCUUAACACAUGCAAGUCGAACGGAAAGGCCCUGCUUUUGUGGGGUGCUCGAGUGGCGAACGGGUGAGUAACACGUGAGUAACCUGCCCUUGACUUUGGGAUAACUUCAGGAAACUGGGGCUAAUACCGGAUAGGAGCUCCUGCUGCAUGGUGGGGGUUGGAAAGUUUCGGCGGUUGGGGAUGGACUCGCGGCUUAUCAGCUUGUUGGUGGGGUAGUGGCUUACCAAGGCUUUGACGGGUAGCCGGCCUGAGAGGGUGACCGGCCACAUUGGGACUGAGAUACGGCCCAGACUCCUACGGGAGGCAGCAGUGGGAAAUAUUGCACAGUGGGCGGAAGCCUGAUGCAGCAACGCCGCGUGCGGGAUGACGGCCUUCGGGUUGUGAACCGCUUUCGCCUGUGACGAAGCGUGAGUGACGGUAAUGGGUAAAGAAGCACCGGCUAACUACGUG